rnacentral:rRNA from 1 species
UACGUAGGGGGCUAGCGUUGUCCGGAAUCAUUGGGCGUAAAGCGCGUGUAGGCGGCCCGGUAAGUCCGCUGUGAAAGUCGGGGGCUCAACCCUCGGAUGCCGGUGGAUACUGUCGGGCUUGAGUACGGAAGAGGCGAGUGGAAUUCCUGGUGUAGCGGUGAAAUGCGCAGAUAUCAGGAGGAACACCAAUUGCGAAGGCAGCUCGCUGGGACGUUACUGACGCUGAGACGCGAAAGCCAGGGGAGCAAACGGG